rnacentral:antisense_RNA from 1 species
CGGCGCGGGUGGAAUUCCCGCGAUCGGUUUCAUUCCCUGCGCCGCCGAGAAAAGUGAGAUCCCGCGAGACUCCCAGGGCAUUUUCCCUACAUUUUCAAAGGCCUGCAUCAUCACACCUGCCGCAGCUUUCUCUAUCAUUGAGGCAUUUUCUCAGGAAAUCACCUGUGAAAUAUUUUGCAGCUAACCACCUACCUGUGCCCCGCCAGCCAACCUGCUUUACUCCUGCCAGGCAGCUGUGUCACUCUGGAAGCUUUGAUCAGAAAAUUGUAGUUGCUGUUGCCUCUGAUGUGCAAGUCCAAGAUUCUUGGGCCGCAGGACAUGUUCUGCAUAUAUUCCUGGAGAAUAGACCAACAAUGAGACUGAAUCAGUAAUGAAAAGUCUUCUAUCAAAGAAAAACCCAGGACCAGAUUGCUUUACUGCUUAAUUCUAGUAAACUCAUAAAGAACAACAAACACCAGUUCUUUUCAAACUAUUCCAAAAAAUUGAAGCAGGGCAGGGAGGAAUUCUUCCUAACUCAUUCUACAAGGCCAGCAUUAUCCUGAUACCAAAACCAGACAAGGACACAGCAAAAACAGAGAACUACAGGCCAAUAUCCCUGAUGAUGCUAAAUGGAAAAAUCCUCAACAAAAUACUAGCAAACCCAAUGCAACAACACAGAAAAGAUAAUAUACCAUGAUCAAAUGAGAUUUAUGUUAGGUAUGCAAUCAUGAUUCAACAUACACAAAUCAAUACUUGUCACACAUCACAUCAACAGAGUGAAAGACCAAAAGACAUAUGAUCAUCUCAACAGAUAUAGAAAAAGAUUUGAUAUGAUUCAAAAUCCCAUUAUGAUAAAAACUUUUAUUUU